AGGCCGGUGCACGGAGGGGCGGCGCGGCGGAGCCGGCAAACGGCGCGGCCGAUCUGCAGCAGCUGACGAUCCAAUUUGACCACAACUCGGUGGACGUUCGUGGCAUGCGCGUGGAUGAGGUGUCCUCCUUGAACUUUGUUUCUCAAACCUGUUUUGAUUUAAUUUCAUGUCUUCAAGGGCUCCAAGGUUUAGGAAAUUACCGAACAUUACAUUUCAUUGCAUUUUGUAACGUCUGUAGGGCUCCGGGAAGGGGUCCUUGCAAGUGCUCGCAUGCCACGUUGAGGUUGAAAGCUAAAUAUCGGACAAUUUGUCAAUCCUGUUGGGACGCAGGUGUCUGGGGUGAUUGAUGAGGCCAUUGCAGCCACACCCAGUGGGACAGCGGUGUUCAUAGUGCACGGAAUGGGGACCGGAAGAUUGAAGGCUGAGGUUCAGAGCCUGCUCA
rnacentral:lncRNA from 1 species